AACGAACGCUGGCGGCGUGCUUAAUACAUGCAAGUCGAACGUGAAUCCCGACUUCGGUUGGGAUGAAAGUGGCGAACGGGUGAGUAACACGUAAGUAAUCUGCCUUCAAGUUUGGGAUAACCCUGCCAACGCGGGGCUAAUACCGGAUGUGGUCCAGCUGACACAUGUUGGCUGGAUUAAAGGUCGCGAGGCCGCUUGGAGAUGAGCUUGCGGCCCAUUAGUUAGUUGGUGAGGUAACGGCCCACCAAGACGAAGAUGGGUAGCCGGCCUGAGAGGGUGUACGGCCACAUUGGGACUGAGAUACGGCCCAGACUCCUACGGGAGGCAGCAGUAGGGAAUUUUGCGCAAUGGACGGAAGUCUGAUCCAGCAACGCCGCGUGAACGAGGGAGCCCUUCGGGGUGUAAAGUUCUUUUCUAUUACGAGCAGUGCUAUAUAUAUGGAUAGGUAUAAUAUUAGAGGGAUAGGUAGUAAUAGGAAUAAGGACAACGGCUAACUCCGUGCCAGCAGCCGACG
rnacentral:rRNA from 1 species